UGGCUCAGGACGAACGCUGGCGGCGUGCCUAACACAUGCAAGUCGAACGAAGCUCUGCGAUACAAGACUUCGGUCAAGUUGAACGGAUGACUCAGUGGCGGACGGGUGAGUAACGCGUGAGGAACCUGCCUUUCAGUGGGGGACAACAGUUGGAAACGACUGCUAAUACCGCAUAAUGUAUUCUGACCGCAUGAUCGGAAUACCAAAGAUUUAUUGCUGAAAGAUGGCCUCGCGUCUGAUUAGAUAGUUGGUGAGGUAACGGCCCACCAAGUCAACGAUCAGUAGCCGGACUGAGAGGUUGAACGGCCACAUUGGGACUGAGAUACGGCCCAGACUCCUACGGGAGGCAGCAGUGGGGAAUAUUGGGCAAUGGGGGAAACCCUGACCCAGCAACGCCGCGUGAAGGAAGAAGGCUUUCGGGUUGUAAACUUCUUUUACCAGGGACGAAGGACGUGACGGUACCUGGAGAAAAAGCCACGGCUAACUACGUGCCAGCAGCCGCGGUAAUACGUAGGUGGCAAGCGUUGUCCGGAUUUACUGGGUGUAAAGGGCGUGUAGGCGGAGAAGCAAGUCAGAAGUGAAAUCCAUGGGCUUAACCCAUGAACUGCUUUUGAAACUGUUUCCCUUGAGUAUCGGAGAGGCAGGCGGAAUUCCUAGUGUAGCGGUGAAAUGCGUAGAUAUUAGGAGGAACACCAGUGGCGAAGGCGGCCUGCUGGACGACAACUGACGCUGAGGCGCGAAAGCGUGGGGAGCAAACAGGAUUAGACACCCUGGUAGUCCACGCUGUAAAC
rnacentral:rRNA from 1 species